rnacentral:rRNA from 1 species
UACAGAGGGUGCAAGCGUUGUUCGGAAUUACUGGGCGUAAAGCGUGUGUAGGCGGUAUUGAGAGUCACAGGUGAAAUCCCCGAGCUCAACUCGGGAACUGCCUGUGAGACCUCAGUACUAGAGUACGGAAGGGGCUAGCGGAAUUCCCAGUGUAGCGGUGAAAUGCGUAGAUAUUGGGAGGAACACCUGUGGCGAAGGCGGCUAGCUGGUCCGAGACUGACGCUGAGACACGAAAGCGUGGGGAGCAAACAGG